GAUGAACGCUGGCGGCGUGCCUAAUACAUGCAAGUCGAGCGAACAGACGAGGAGCUUGUUCCUUUGACGUUAGCGGCGGACGGGUGAGUAACACGUGGAUAACCUACCUAUAAGACUGGGAUAAUUUCGGGAAACCGGAGCUAUAAAGGCCAAAUAAUUCAACCGGAUGGAUCAAUAGUGAAUGACGGCUUUGCUGUCAUUUAUAGACGGAUCCGGGCCGCAUUAGCUAGUUGGUAAGGUAACGGCUUACCAAGGCGACGAUGCGUAGCCGGCCUGAGAGGAUGAUCAGCCACACUGGAACUGAGACACGGUCCAGACUCCUACGGGAGGCAGCAGUGGGGAAUCUUCCGCAAUGGGCGAAAGCCUGACGGAGCAACACCGCGUGAGUGAUGAAGGUCUUCGGAUCGUAAAACUCUGUUAUUGGGAAAGAACAGCAGUGUGAUUAACUAUGCACGUCUUGACGGUACCUAAUCAGAAAGCCACGGCUAACUACGUG
rnacentral:rRNA from 1 species